rnacentral:rRNA from 1 species
GCUUGUCUCAAAGAUUAAGCCAUGCAUGUCUCAGCAUAAGCUUCAACACGGUGAAACUGCAAAUGGCUCAUUAAAGCAGUUACAAUUUAUUUGAUGGUCACUGUUACAUGGAUAACUGUGGUAAUUCUAGAGCUAAUACAUGCUAAAAACCUCGACUUCGGAAGGGGUGUAUUUAUUAGAUAAAAAACCAAUGCCCUUCGGGGCUCCUUGGUGAAUCAUAAUAACUUAACGAAUCGCAUGGCCUUGCGCCGGCGAUGGUUCAUUCAAAUUUCUGCCCUAUCAACUUUCGAUGGUAGGAUAGUGGCCUACCAUGGUAUCAACGGGUAACGGGGAAUUAGGGUUCGACUCCGGAGAGGGAGCCUGAGAAACGGCUACCACAUCCAAGGAAGGCAGCAGG